rnacentral:sRNA from 1 species
UGUGCAUAAAAUGUGGUAUAAGGCUUUGC